UACGGGGGGGGCAAGUGUUGUUCGGAAUUACUGGGCGUAAAGGGCUCGUAGGUGGCCAACUAAGUCAGACGUGAAAUCCCUCGGCUUAACCGGGGAACUGCGUCUGAUACUGGAUGGCUUGAGUUUGGGAGAGGGACGCGGAAUUCCAGGUGUAGCGGUGAAAUGCGUAGAUAUCUGGAGGAACACCGGUGGCGAAAGCGCUCUACUGGACCGCAACUGACACUCAGGGACGAAAGCUAGGGGAGCGAAUGGG
rnacentral:rRNA from 1 species